UUUUGCUACUCUUUGCAAGUAUUUGAACAUCUUUGGAAUACGAGUAGUUAGUGUUUUCUACACAGAGUAACUACCUUUGAAUUUAACGUACAUCCCUCAGUUCCAGGGUGAGGAAUCAUACAGUGCACAAAGACACCUUGCUCAUCAGCAGUACUAUAUAAGACAUACCUAGCUGUUUUUUUUUUCCCCCUCAGUGAUAAUUACAGGCAGAAUGUGUAUUUUUACAGUAUACCAGGUACAAUGUAUCAUAGAACUGAACCCACAAAACAGUUUUGUUCAGGAUUUUAGUCUGUAAGCAAGUUUACUUUAUUUUACCUUAGAGCCUGUAGAGCUGCCUCAGAAAGAGUCUUAUUACUGUUCAUUUUUGUGACCUGAUGGCUCAUGUAAGAGCAGCAGAGAACAAAAGGAGGGGGGCUCUGCAUAAAGGGAAAACACACCACUAUCAGGGCAGGGGCCAGCUCCCUUCCCUGAGAGGACAUCAGGUAAGCACAGCAGAUCCCUUCCAAUCCACACACAGUACCUGGUGAAACAGCCUGGGGCAGGUGCCAGCAUCAGCCAGGAGGCUCAGCAACCAGGAAGCCUACAGCAAAGAGACAGAGCUGAGACCACACCACUGCUUCUCUAGAGUAGGGAGAAAAAGCCUCCAGGCUGAGCUUAAAUGGAGCUCUGGGCCCUUGGGCAGGCUGCAGGUGGGGCUGGUCAGGGCUGUUAAGUCUCCUCAGUGCCCUUAGCAGUCUGGCAGCCAGACACAUGAAAAGAGAGCAUCAAGGGCAGGGAGAGCAGGCUGCCACAGGGGGACUGACAGUGACUGCCAGACAGGCAGGUUCCAUGUCCCUCAGAGGAGAGCCACGUGUAGCCAAGCUCAGCCAAGGCUCCGGAUGGCCAGGAAAGUCUGUGCAAAGAGGGCCCUUGGCUCUCUUCAAAGCUCCAACUCUCCUUCACUCCUGGAGCCCUCCCAAAGGCACUGGCCCAGACCCUGACAAUGUUCAGCCCGGUCUUUUGUUCAAGAAGGAACAUCUGUGCCUGCCUUUGAAUAAAAGAUGGUGGCAUGCGAGUUGCCCCUUGACUGGAAGAAUCCUUGUCUUGGUGAAGAAGGCACGUAACCAAACGGCAAACAAGCCUGGGACGGUCCUUCGGCGCCGUCCGAGCACGGGCGCUCCUUCCCGUUACCGGGCUCGCUGCAUUGCUGCAUGCCCAGGAGGGGCUGACGAGGAGCAGCCCCCUGCCAUCCCCCCGCUGCCCCGGUCGGGCUGGCGCGGGCGGGCCGUGCCCAAACGACCCGCGCGUUUUCUACGGGCUCCGAGCGAGGGCAGCGGCUGCCUUCGGGCGUGGAAGCCUCUCUGCCGUCGGGCGCCGACCUGUUGCUGACUGUGGCCGCUCCCCGCGGGUCGCACCACCGGGACCCCGCGUCCCGGAGCACCGCGGUGCGCGCCGAGCCGCG
rnacentral:lncRNA from 1 species